CCUACGGGUGGCAGCAGUGGGGAAUAUUGCACAAUGGGGGAAACCCUGAUGCAGCAACGCCGCGUGGGUGAAGGAGCGUUUCGGAUCGUAAAGCCCUGUCAGCAGGGAAGAAGAAAGACGGUACCCGACCAAGAACACCCGGCUAACUACGUGCCAGCAGCCGCGGUAAUACGGGGGAUGCGAGCGUUCUCGGGAUAUAUUGGGUUAAAAGGGUGCGUAGGCGGAUUUUUAAGUCAGCGGUAAAAUGUCCGGGCUCAACCCUGGCCGGCCGUUGACACUGGUGAUCUUGAGUGGGCGAGAAGUAUGUGGAAUGCGUGGUGUAGCGGUGAAAUGCAUAGAUAUCACGCAGAACUCCGAUUGCGAAGGCAGCAUACCGGCGCCCGACUGACGCUGAGGCACGAAAGCGUGGGGAUCGAACAGGAUUAGAUACCCGAGUAGUC
rnacentral:rRNA from 1 species